GCCUCAACCAUUCUAAAUAACUCGCAGCUCUAUCACUACAAUGAGAAUGCAGGACGAAGACAAUGCAGGACGGAGACAUGCUAGCCAGAACUAGAAAUGGAGACCUAAGAUUCUCAAUAGCACUUUAGAUACGCAAAGAAUGCAUGCACAAUGCACUUGUUCAUUGUCAGCAGGGUGACAAGACAUGAAUACAACUCCAUCCGCAGCUGAUGUGUAACCCCCGUGUCAUUGACAUCAACCUUCACCAGCCGGAAAAGGAUGCAGCAGCUUUUUUUUUGGGGGGGGGGGGGGUGGGGGUUCAAAG